rnacentral:rRNA from 1 species
UACAGAGGUCCCAAGCGUUUGUUCGGAUUCAUUGGGCGUAAAGGGUGCGUAGGCGGCGCGGUAAGUCGGGUGUGAAAUCUCGGAGCUUAACUCCGAAACUGCAUUCGAUACUGCCGUGCUUGAGGACUGGAGAGGAGACUGGAAUUUACGGUGUAGCGGUGAAAUGCGUAGAUAUCGUAAGGAAGACCAGUGGCGAAGGCGGGUCUCUGGGCCACUACUGACGC